AUCCACCUUUAGGUGAUGGGACAUCACCUCUGGAUCUAUGCUAGGCAUAUCUGUAGCUGAUCAGGCAAAGAGGUCCGUAUUUUCCUAUAAAAGUGUGGUUAGUCGAGCCUUGGUUACCUCAUCCAAGUGUGAGUCGAUCUUCACUAUCUGGUUGGGGUUCUCUUUCCUCAGUGGGACUUCGAGGAGGUCCUCAGAUGGCUGGAUGUGCUCCUCAGAUAGAUCAUCUCAGGCAUCCAGCUCUAUCUUGGAAAUUAUGUCAUAAAAUCAAUCAUGUAACGAUUGAGUUUCUCUUUGUAUAUGAGUUAUUGAUAAAUGAAUAAAAAAUAUUCUGACAUUUUUCAUCACAAAGUAAUAUCUUCCUUAAACUCUUAUAUUGUGAUGAAGUCCUUAGAACUAUGUUAGUGUACGAUAAAGAAGAAUUUAUCGUAUAGUUCUCAAACAUGUUCAUGACCAAAUGAUACAUCAUUAUAGGAUGAUGAUGUUUAUCGAGUGAAGAUCGUUGUAUGUCAUAUGGAUUGGUUGUCCUCUUAAUCAACGAGUAUGGUGAUAUUGGUAUAGCAUACAGAUAAGAUGUAGGAAUACAUCAUCACUGAACAAAUAACUCACCUGCUGAGCAUUCUAUUGUCAAGAGCUGCUCGUGAAGUAUAUGGAUAUAAAUAUCCCUCAGACCUGAGAUCACCAUAGUGACUUACAAGUAACUCACUGUGCUUUGGUGUCAGAUUAUCUGGAUUUUUAAUACAGUGAUGGAAGGCUACUGGAUACAGUCAAGUACUUGCAAAAUCUGUGUAUGGAUCAAAAUGAGAUUGAUCCCUCUAAAUUAUUAGAGUUGAUGUAUAGCUAUAUUUUAAUUUAGUAAAACCUUGACCGAGGUAAUCCAUGAGAUAAAUUUGAAAGGUUGAAAGAUAAUAUGGAUGAAGCAAUUUCGAUUGACAGUUAACUUGAGACCAUCCUUGAGCAUUCAGGAUCAAAAGGAUGAAUUAUGUGGUAACUAUAUGCAUAGAUUCUGAAAUAUUCUUUUACGAUACUUCGACUUAUCUGAACGUCAAGAACCAUUACUAGAUGGUAUCUCGAUUAGUGUAGAAAUUAGUUCCUAUGCUAUCGAUUUAGUAUUUGAAUCUAUGGAGUCAUGCACACAAGUCCGAUACCGUAAGAAAAUAUUGACCUAUAUUUAUAUGUUCAAUUUAAAAAUACUUGACUUGAUUGAACAUAUAAGUUAACUUGAUUGAGAAUUAAGUUAUGGAUCGAAUGAGAUUAAAGAGUUGACUAUAUCUAGCU
rnacentral:lncRNA from 1 species